rnacentral:rRNA from 1 species
AGUGAACGCUGGCGGUAGGCCUAACACAUGCAAGUCGAACGGCAGCACAGUAAGAGCUUGCUCUUACGGGUGGCGAGUGGCGGACGGGUGAGGAAUACAUCGGAAUCUACUUUUUCGUGGGGGAUAACGUAGGGAAACUUACGCUAAUACCGCAUACGACCUACGGGUGAAAGCAGGGGAUCUUCGGACCUUGCGCGAUUGAAUGAGCCGAUGUCGGAUUAGCUAGUUGGCGGGGUAAAGGCCCACCAAGGCGACGAUCCGUAGCUGGUCUGAGAGGAUGGUCGGCCACACGGGAACGGAGACACGGUCCAGACGCCUACGGGAGGCAGCAGUGGGGAAUAUGGGACAAUGGUCGCAAGUCUGAUCCAGCCAUACCGCGUGUGUGAAGGAGGCCUUCGGGUUGUAAAGACGUUUUGUGGGUAAAGAAAAGCAGCAGGUUAAGACCCCGCUGUUCUGACGGUACCCAAAGAAUAAGCACCGGCUAACUUCGUG